UACGUAGGGGGCGAGCGUUGUCCGGAUUUAUUGGGCGUAAAGAGCGUGUAGGCGGCCAGGUAGGUCUGCUGUGAAACUCGAGGCUCAACCUCGAGACGUCGGCGGAAACCAUCUGGCUAGAGUCCGGAAGAGGAGAGUGGAAUUCCUGGUGUAGCGGUGAAAUGCGCAGAUAUCAGGAGGAACACCGGUGGCGAAGGCGGUUCUCUGGGCCUUGCCUGACGCUGAGGAGCGAAAGCAUGGGGAGCAAACAGG
rnacentral:rRNA from 1 species